UCGAGGAUCUUCGGCAAUGGGCGCAAGCCUGACCGAGCGACGCCGCGUGUGCGAUGAAGGCCUUCGGGUUGUAAAGCACUGUCGAGGGGGAGGAAAGCCGCAAGGCUUGACCUAUCCCUGGAGGAAGCACGGGCUAAGUUCGUGCCAGCAGCCGCGGUAAGACGAACCGUGCGAACGUUGUUCGGAUUCACUGGGCUUAAAGGGCGCGUAGGCGGGUGACCAAGUCCGGGGUGAAAUCUUCCGGCCCAACUGGAAAAGUGCCUUGGAUACUGGUCGCCUGGAGGGAGGUAGGGGCACGCGGAACUCCAGGUGGAGCGGUGAAAUGCGUAGAUAUCUGGAGGAACGCCGGUGGCGAAAGCGGCGUGCUGGACCUCUUCUGACGCUGAGGCGCGAAAGCCAGGGGAGCAAACGG
rnacentral:rRNA from 1 species